CUUUCAUAGGAUUCAGUAUUGUGAACUGCUCAUUUAAAAUCACCAUUAUCUGAGCACUGCGUGCAUCAAUUUUCAUUAACAGCAUCCAACAACGAGGGCAGCAUCUUCCAGAAUGCUCUGUAGAAUUAAUUGAAAAGACUGCUUAAUUUGAUCCUGCUGCAGUCUGGUGUUCAUCGUCGGUGAUCAUCUUUAUUGGCGACGAAGGCAGCACAGGCAAAUUUAUCACAACAGGACCAUUUGCUCGUUCAGUCGUUAUGUACGAUGUACCGGCGCUUGUCGAUGGCUCUUGGUUACCCCCAUCAACUAUCUUGCCUGGCGGUCGGAUCUGGCUAGGAACACUGGUAAAAUUUUGCUCAGAUAUAGCAGUACUCGUUGAUGGUUUUUGAACAUUAACGCUAAUCAUUUUGGCUGGUGUACGGCUCACAACACAAACAGAUCCUCCAGCAGCCGCUAUCACCGAUGCAGAAGCACUGGUGGGUAAUUGUUGUCUUACAACAGCAGUCUUCAUACCACGCUGAUUCUUCGUAGCAUGAACUUCGGCAAACGAUGCAAUCGAUGGUAAUGCAGAUCCCGUCAAAGCUUGUUGUCUACCGGUCUUCAUGCCUGAUUCCUACGGUAGAGCAUCAGCAACCGGUACCAAUGAUAGCGCAGCAGUAGAAGUUGAUGGUUGCUGUCCAUGUUGCUGGCCUAACGGACGGAAUGGUGCAGAUUACCAUCACCGGCAUUCGAGACCAGCGCUGACACUGCAUCCGUUACCUUCAGCUGUUGAACAACACGGACUGGCAUUCUUUGUUGACUGAUCCGUGCGCGCUGACCGGCCACUGAAACUACCGAUUGCGCUGCACUUGUUUUCGGAAGUUGUCGAACAACACGGACUGGUACAUCUGACUGACGAAACGAUUACACAUCCGUAAUGGCCGAGGGCAUCACUUGCAAAGAAAGUGGUACUUGAGACUCUUCCACAACUUCCUUUUAUACUGCAUUUCGAGUUGCCGGUGCGCAGACUUAUGAAUGAAUGGGAGAAGUCUAAGGACUUGUGAAGAAGAAAUAGGAUAUGGUGUGAUAUCGAAUAUUGUGCCUGUUGCUUGUACUACCGAAUGUCGCCAAGCUACUCAUCACAUAUCCACGUUUUAUGUCCCCAUUCUUGGUGUUUCCGGGUUAUUCGCCAUCGCACUGUAGUCGGAUCAUACUCCAUCUGUCCUGCUUCGAUUAUUGCCUCCACAAAGACAAAAUUAGAGCACGCGUUGCUAUUCCUCAUCCUACGGCACCGUCUGGAUAAUGUGGGAGUCACUCCGUGAAACAGCGGAAAACCCCGUGAGUCACCGGGCACCAACAUGCAUAUCGACUGAAACUUGGAUCCUUGCUAAAUUGAAGCAAAGUUGAAGCGUCGUGUAUCAGAUCGCAACUGCUAAUAAUUUCGUCGUGUGAGGCGGACUGUUAUGGAUGUACCAAAUCUUCAGUGAUGAUGAAUGCGUUCAUGCAUCUACGAGCCGGUAACUGGCGGUAUCCAGAUCAUCGUCGUACUGUUAGCUUACCUAAACUACCGAAAUUAGCGACAGUGUAAAAUCUGUGCUGUGAGAAUUACAGCUGGCUCUCAUACGGACGUUACACGAGGCGUAAACUCAAAAAAUUUACGUUUGAUUUGUAUGGGAGAGCGUAAACUUCCUGUCAAAAGAUUUUAGGGUUGUAUGGCUGAAAUUUAGUUUACGCCAAAGUUUACGCUUCGUAUGACGUCCGUAUCACAACCGUCUGGAAGCCGCAACGAGUUAGUAACAUCAAGAUCAUCACCACCGCACAUAGCGCAGCAUAUUGAAGCAAGCCCAAGCAACAACAGCAACCACCUGCAGCAAACGUACGCCGAACGAAUGGACGUGAUAGACGCGUUAUAAUUGCAAGGCGAUACUUGCGCUCUGAAAAUGCUAGCACAGAUGUUUGAGCCACAGAUGUGACGUUUCGAGAGUGUAAAAACAUGCCUGGCCCACAGUUUCAGAUAAGCCGUUCUCAUCAAUGACAUACCAUGUAGGUUGGUUAGUUACACUUAAUCACGAAGGACUCGAUGACGACGCAACUCUUGCACGUUCGUCAUCAUACUAUCAUUUCAACUGGAGGCAUGUUUGUUUAGGCGGCUAUAACAAAUUGUUUAAACAUGUUCAAUGAAACAAACAUGUUGUUUUGGCUUCCAAUAAUUAAUGGUGAAUGCUGGAAAUCUCCGUGAUAACCGUUUUCGUGCGCUAAAUAAGGUUUGUAUGAAAAAUAGU